UUAAGUUCAGCGGGUAUCCCUACCUGAUCCGAGGUCAACCUGAAAAAAGAUUGAUUGGGGUCGGCAAGCGCCGGCCGGGCCUACAGAGCGGGUGACAAAGCCCCAUACGCUCGAGGAUCGGACGCGGUGCCGCCACUGCCUUUCGGGCCUGCCCCCGGGGGAGCAAGGCCCAACACACAAGCCGGGCUUGAGGGCAGCAA
rnacentral:misc_RNA from 1 species